GACGAACGCUGGCGGCGUGCCUAACACAUGCAAGUCAACUUGACUGAAGGAGCAAUCUGACAGUAGAGUGGCGCAAGGGUGCGUAACGCGUAAGUAACUUGCCCCAAGGUAAGGAAUAACGUCGAGAAAUCGGCGCUAAUACCUCAUAAUGCAGCGGAUCCGCAUGGAUAUGUUGUUAAAGGUUUACCGCCUUGGGAUAGGCUUGCGUCUGAUUAGUUAGUUGGUGUGGUAACGGCACACCAAGGCUACGAUCAGUAACUGGUCUGAGAGGAUGAUCAGUCACACUGGAACUGAGACACGGUCCAGACUCCUACGGGAGGCAGCAGUGAGGAAUAUUGGGCAAUGCUCGAAAGAGUGACCCAGCAACGCCGCGUGGAGGAUGAAGGUAUUCUAUAUCGUAAACUCCUGUGAGAGCAGACGAAAGACAGAUUAUAAUCUGGAUGACUGUAUGCUCAGAGGAAGCCCCGGCUAACUACGUG
rnacentral:rRNA from 1 species